rnacentral:rRNA from 1 species
GAUGAACGCUAGCUACAGGCUUAACACAUGCAAGUCGAGGGGUAACAUUGGCUGAGCUUGCUCUGCCAGAUGACGACCGGCGCACGGGUGAGUAACGCGUAUCCAACCUGCCCAUGGGUCAGGGAUAAACUCCCGAAAGGGAGCCUAAUACCUGAUGUUGUGCAUUGAUGACAUCAGAUUUGCACUAAAGGUUUUCCGCUUGCGGAUGGGGAUGCGUACGAUUAGGUAGACGGCGGGGUAACGGCCCACCGUGCCAUCGAUCGUUAGGGGUUCUGAGAGGAAGGUCCCCCACACUGGUACUGAGACACGGACCAGACUCC